GGACCCGUGGCCUAGCAUGGAUGGGGCGACAGAAUAAUUAUAUUCCGCAAAUGCCUCCUAAGCAGUAGAUCGUGAGUUCAAAUCUCACCGGGUCCG
rnacentral:tRNA from 1 species